rnacentral:rRNA from 1 species
CUUUAUCACCGGCCGAAGCAGCCUCUGAGCCACAGUUGGAAGAAGAGACGGUCUCCGAGCCUCGGUUUGGGGUAAGGUCCUUAGCGGCUCGUCGUUUGUUACCCGUCGGGACGGCGGUAGGAGGAUCGGCACGAUGAGCGGCGCGAGCGCAUGCACGAGGCGCACGAGGCGCGGGAGCACACCCGGGGCGUGGCGGACCUCGCGGCGGACGCGGCCGUCCCGUAGGCCCCGGGAGGCGCGUCGGAGUAGAGGCCUUUGCCCCGGCUGAUGCCGCGGGAACAGCGGCGGCGGGUCAGGUCCGGCGAGCGGAGGAAGGUGGUGCGGUAGCAGCCGGCGCAGCGCGGCGUGAUGGCGCUCACCCGCCGCGCCAUGCCGGCCGGCAAACACAAGACCAAGCCCGGGGCCAGCACCGACCACAAGAGGUCGGGCCUUCAGCGGUUCCGGCGCGAGUUGCUGAGGUGCCCCUGGAAGCUAUUCCGACCGUUGCCGCCGCCGUCGUUGGGCGAGCGAGCCGUCGAGUAGCCGCUCCCCGACCACCCCGAGUGGCCCCUCUUCACCCGCGUGGUGGCGGCGCAAUAGAGCGGGCGGAAGUUGUACCUCUCCCAGUUCCCGACCUAUGGUCUUUACAGUCGUUAGCGGAGUAGGUACGACCUAUUUACCCUUCAGGUUCCUCCUUGGGUGUGACUCAAACUCUAACUGCGUUCAUUUCUUAAGGUUUGAAAGUCAAGACUACAAUAAAGAGCACACCGUAAACCUUCAUCGAUGCUCCUUCCUUUCGCUCAAAAAGUUAACGUUCUUCUUGUCUAUUUUGAUCGGGAGGAACGUUACUCUUGGAAGAUGAAAGGACCUAAGUCCAAACAUGGCUGUUUCUUCUUGGCUUCUUCCGUAUCGGAUUUGGUCCUUUAGGCUUCAAGAGACGCCUUUAACUAACUCUAGUUACCUUCCUUCACACUCCUGAGGUUUUUAAACGAACCGAACUACGAUAGUCGGUCGUUUUGACUGUUACUCAAGUUUUACCCUUAGCUUCUCUAGUAACUACUCACGUUCUGUAAAAUGAAGCGGCCAUUUCUUUGUUGACGUUUAAACAACUGUACCCGUUGUGAAGACGACCGUAACGUAUUUCUUACCGUUCUGUUUCGGGUACCGCUUCAGAUAGUUCACACACCGUUUGUGUUCGUGGGUUUACGCCUUUUGGAAUCGUCAGAGUUUUAACAUUUAUACCACAACUUCCUCUGGGAGUCCGACAUAGGAGGUCGAGACAAGUAGUUGUCCUGUCAGUGAUCCCUACACUUCGACCCGUUUGAGCUGUAGGGACGUCCGUGCGUCGAGUUAGACGGAUAAUAACUGUAAGUGGUACUACAGCUGUAUACCCCUCGAUUACGCCUGCUCAAGCUAGGUAACUCCAAACGUCUACCGUUCUCGAUGGUGGAGCCGCGCAUGAAGGGAAACCCUAACCGGGACGGUAGACACAACCCGUCUUAGAACGCUACCAACUCCGUUUCGACCGCGAACGUUACCAGGAGGUCGCCAAACGCAAACUACAGAGUGGCAGGAUACAAGUACGCAGCUACUUCCACUACUGGGAGGUUGGGGUCAUACCACGAGUUGAAGAACAGGUGUCCUAGACUCGGAACACACCACGACAUAUACCUUAACCCUCCACACUGUCGUUCAACACUUUUCUUCAUACUCGUUAGGGUCAAGACUUCCUCGUCUUCGUCAAGACUUCUACUAGUCAAAUGGUUAUGUUCAGGUAUACGAAGGCCUGUCGGUGUCGUCCCUCACCCGACUCGUGACCCCCAAACGAGGCCGGCAGUCGGGAGACGUG